UACAGAGGUCUCAAGCGUUGUUCGGAUUCAUUGGGCGUAAAGGGUGUGUAGGUGGCGCGCUAAGUCGGGUGUGAAAUUUCGGAGCUUAACUCCGAAACUGCAUUCGAUACUGGCGUGCUUGAGGACUGGAGAGGAGACUGGAAUUUACGGUGUAGCGGUGAAAUGCGCAGAUAUCGGGAGGAACACCUAUGGCGAAGGCAGCUCGCUGGGACGUUACUGACGCUGAGACGCGAAAGCGUGGGGAGCAAACAGG
rnacentral:rRNA from 1 species